rnacentral:rRNA from 1 species
UGGGGAAUAUUGCACAAUGGGCGAAAGCCUGAUGCAGCAACGCCGCGUGAGGGACGACGGGCCUUCGGGUUGUAAACCUCUUUUAGCAAGGAAGAAGCGAAAGUGACGGUACUUGCAGAAAAAGCGCCGGCUAACUACGUGCAAGCAGCCGCGGUAAUACGUAGGGCGCAAGCGUUAUCCGGAAUUAUUGGGCGUAAAGAGCUCGUAGGCGGUUUGUCGCGUCUGCUGUGAAAACCCGAGGCUCAACCUCGGGCCUGCAGUGGGUACGGGCAGACUAGAGUGCGGUAGGGGAGAUUGGAACUCCUGGUGUAGCGGUGGAAUGCGCAGAUAUCAGGAAGAACACCGAUGGCGAAGGCAGAUCUCUGGGCCGUAACUGACGCUGAGGAGCGAAAGGGUGGGGAGCAAACAGGCUUAGAUACCCUGGUAGUCCACCCCGUAAACGUUGGGAACUAGUUGUGGGGUCCAUUCCACGGAUUCCGUGACGCAGCUAACGCAUUAAGUUCCCCGCCUGGGGAGUACGGCCGCAAGGCUAAACUCAAAGGAAUUGACGGGGUCAUAGCUGUUUCCU